rnacentral:lncRNA from 1 species
GGAGAUAGCUUACAUCUAUGACAUGAUUAAAUACACUGAAGUGUGUUUAUGAGGUAAGGGAAAGGAGACAGUGAAAAAGGCAGGAUGAAAAUACAAGAGAGAAAGGAAACAAACCGGACCCUAGAGGAGAGAAGAGGGUACAAACGGAGGUUGGAGGACCAGCGUUGAGCCCAGAAGAGCGCAUCUUCCUCUGAAAGUGAGAAGGAAAGCAAGGUGGGCAGUAUCCUGAUUCCUGUCCUGCAGAUAGGGAAGCUGACUCGAACACGGGGCCAGCCCCGUCCAGUGGGCACCCUGCGGGGGUGUUCUCAACAGUGUGAUGCUCUUACCUCUGCAAGUCUGGACCAGGUGCCCCGGCAAAGCUUCUAGAGAGAACCGAGUUCAGCUCCAGCUGUGAAAUGGAUCACUGUGUGGAGGCUGGUGCUGGAAGCCCACAGGAAGUUCCCCCAGAGAUCCGCCUGGCAUGAGGCUGAGAACCGUCUUCUCUUGUAAUAAUGAGUUUAAGCAAAGUGGCAGUUACUUCUCAUCCAUCAAAAGCUAAUAAAAUAAAUUCCAUAAAGUCA